CUGCCGGUUCCCGUGACCCCGGAAAUCCCGCUCCUGCCGCGAGGCGCCCUCCGCUUCGCGCUCCCUCGUGUCACGAGGGAGCCAGGGUGGGCGGUCUCCUAUUGUACUUGGCUUUUGAAUUUUCGCUUUUGCAGCACAAAGGUCUCUCCUGCCACCUUGUGAAGAAGGCAUCUGCUUCCCCUUCACCUUUCUCCAUGAUCGUAAGCUUCCUAAGGCCUCCAAAGCCAUGCAGAACUGGAGUCACCUAAGUGGCAAGUGCAGAAAGGAAGAAGUCCUGGAAGAAGGAAGUGGAGUGGACACUUGCUGAAAGAAAUCUUAACUCUAGUAUCUUCCCAGUGCAGUUCCUAUUUUGGGUUUCAACUCCCCCAGAGGAGUCCUUUUAGUGCAGCUCCUGACUGCCCGAUUCCACCGGACUUCUCUCAGUAGACAGACUGAAGGGCAGAUCAAAGGCUAGAGCCUGCGCUCUGCCACGCCCUUGCUUCUGCCCAGAAGGGAGCCUUCUUCUCAUCACCUCUUGAAGAGCCACCUUUGCUCCCAGGAGAGCACACUUAGCUCGUUUGCUGCCAGGCCCUCCACACACUCUGCACUCUUUAGAGCCACCUGCCAGUUCUCUCCCUUCUGAGACCCUAGUAUUUUGUGGUUAGCGCUACGAAACUGUGUCCCUAAGGCUCCUUGCCAGUCGCCACUGAAGACUUCUCAGCCUAAAGAGCCCUUGGCCAAAGUCCCCACCCACCGCCCCUGCCGCGCGCCAUUGAGCCCCCGCGCCGCAGACCUUGAGGUCCUGCUCCAGGCUGCGCAACAGCUCCCCGUCGAUUUCCCCGGUCUGGGCGUAGCGGAGCCUUUUGCGCUCGGCUUUGCGGAGGCGGUACUGCAGGAUCCGGCAGUUUUUGUUGGCUCUCUCCAACUCGUGGCGCAUUUCCUGCAGUUGACAGGCAUCCUCCUCGAAGAAAGUGUCCCUCAUCUCGUCCAUCUCGGUUCUCAGCUCAUCGAUCUCGUUCUGAGGCGGUGACAGGCCGCGUGUCAAAAUCAAACUCGCUUCCAGCCCUUCCGACACACACCGUACACACCCCAUUCCAAUUCCAAAUUCUCAGCUUUAAUUGCCCUCUCUCUCCACGAGACAGGAGUGACAAGGAGCUGAGUACAGAAGAGGAAACUGGGGGAAAAAGGCCCACUUUAGGCCCUCUCUCGUUCUCUUACUCUACCUCUCUCCAGGAAGAAGUGUGACAAACCAUUAUAAUUAGAGAAACGGAGGCCCAGAUUUGAAUUUAAAUGAAAACCUCGCGUUACUGAGAGCAGAUUCAAAUUCCGGCAAGGCCUAGGAAACCCCCUCCCUCCUUUCUUGUUCUCCUCCCUCUUCAAGGCUCCCUAACAG
rnacentral:lncRNA from 1 species